GCGGGGGUGCCCGAGCCAGGACGAAGGGGCCGGACAGGCCAUCCGGUGGGGGCAGCCCCGUCCGGGGUUCAAAUCCCCGCCCCCGCACCA
rnacentral:tRNA from 1 species